rnacentral:rRNA from 1 species
GGGUUGUGAGGUUAAGCGACUAAGCGUACACGGUGGAUGCCCUGGCAGUCAGAGGCGAUGAAGGGCGUGCUAAUCUGCGAUAAGCGCCGGUAAGGUGAUAUGAACCGUUAUAACCGGCGAUACCCGAAUGGGGAAACCCAGUGUGAUUCGUCACACUAUCAUUAACUGAAUCCAUAGGUUAAUGAGGCGAACCGGGGGAACUGAAACAUCUAAGUACCCCGAGGAAAAGAAAUCAACCGAGAUUCCCCCAGUAGCGGCGAGCGAACGGGGAGGAGCCCAGAGCCUGAAUCAGCAUGUGUGUUAGUGGAAGCGUCUGGAAAGGCGCGCGAUACAGGGUGACAGCCCCGUACACAAAAGCGCAUGUGCUGUGAGCUCGAUGAGUAGGGCGGGACACGUGGUAUCCUGUCUGAAUAUGGGGGGACCAUCCUCCAAGGCUAAAUACUCCUGACUGACCGAUAGUGAACCAGUACCGUGAGGGAAAGGCGAAAAGAACCCGGCGAGGGAGUGAAAAGAACCUGAAACCGUGUACGUACAAGCAGUGGGAGCACCCUUUGGGGUGUGACUGCGUACCUUUGUAUAAUGGGUCAGCGACUUAUAUUCUGUAGCAAGGUUAACCGAAUAGGGAGCCGGAAACCGAGUCUUAACCGGGCGUUAAGUUGCAGGGUAUAGACCCGAAACCCGGUGAUCUAGCCAUGGGCAGGUUGAAGGUUGGGUAACACUAACUGGAGGACCGAACCGACUAAUGUUGAAAAAUUAGCGGAUGACCUGUGGCUGGGGUGAAAGGCCAAUCAAACCGGGAGAUAGCUGGUUCUCCCGAAAGCUAUUUAGGUAGCGCCUCGUGAAUUCAUCUCCGGGGUAGAGCACUGUUUCGGCUAGGGGCCAUCCCGGCUUACCAACCCGAUGCAAACUGCGAAUACCGGAGAAUGUUAUCACGGGAGACACACGGCGGGUGCUAACGUCCGUCGUGAAGAGGGAAACAACCCAGACCGCCAGCUAAGGUCCCAAAGUCAUGGUUAAGUGGGAAACGAUGUGGGAAGGCCCAGACAGCCAGGAUGUUGGCUUAGAAGCAGCCAUCAUUUAAAGAAAGCGUAAUAGCUCACUGGUCGAGUCGGCCUGCGCGGAAGAUGUAACGGGGCUAAACCAUGCACCGAAGCUGCGGCAGCGACACUCAGGUGUUGUUGGGUAGGGGAGCGUUCUGUAAGCCUGCGAAGGUGGCCUGUGAGGGUUGCUGGAGGUAUCAGAAGUGCGAAUGCUGACAUAAGUAACGAUAAAGCGGGUGAAAAGCCCGCUCGCCGGAAGACCAAGGGUUCCUGUCCAACGUUAAUCGGGGCAGGGUGAGUCGACCCCUAAGGCGAGGCCGAAAGGCGUAGUCGAUGGGAAACGGGUUAAUAUUCCCGUACUUGGUGUUACUGCGAAGGGGGGACGGAGAAGGCUAUGUUGGCCGGGCGACGGUUGUCCCGGUUUAAGCGUGUAGGUGUGUGUUCCAGGUAAAUCCGGUUCACUUUAACACUGAGGCGUGACGACGAGGCACUACGGUGCUGAAGCAGCAAAUGCCCUGCUUCCAGGAAAAGCCUCUAAGCAUCAGGUAACAUCAAAUCGUACCCCAAACCGACACAGGUGGUCAGGUAGAGAAUACCAAGGCGCUUGAGAGAACUCGGGUGAAGGAACUAGGCAAAAUGGUGCCGUAACUUCGGGAGAAGGCACGCUGACAUGUAGGUGAAGUGAUUUACUCACGGAGCUGAAGUCAGUCGAAGAUACCAGCUGGCUGCAACUGUUUAUUAAAAACACAGCACUGUGCAAACACGAAAGUGGACGUAUACGGUGUGACGCCUGCCCGGUGCCGGAAGGUUAAUUGAUGGGGUCAGCGCAAGCGAAGCUCCUGAUCGAAGCCCCGGUAAACGGCGGCCGUAACUAUAACGGUCCUAAGGUAGCGAAAUUCCUUGUCGGGUAAGUUCCGACCUGCACGAAUGGCGUAAUGAUGGCCAGGCUGUCUCCACCCGAGACUCAGUGAAAUUGAACUCGCUGUGAAGAUGCAGUGUACCCGCGGCAAGACGGAAAGACCCCGUGAACCUUUACUAUAGCUUGACACUGAACAUUGAGCCUUGAUGUGUAGGAUAGGUGGGAGGCUUUGAAGUGUGGACGCCAGUCUGCAUGGAGCCGGCCUUGAAAUACCACCCUUUAAUGUUUGAUGUUCUAACGUGGACCCGUGAUCCGGGUUGCGGACAGUGUCUGGUGGGUAGUUUGACUGGGGCGGUCUCCUCCUAAAGAGUAACGGAGGAGCACGAAGGUUGGCUAAUCCUGGUCGGACAUCAGGAGGUUAGUGCAAUGGCAUAAGCCAGCUUGACUGCGAGCGUGACGGCGCGAGCAGGUGCGAAAGCAGGUCAUAGUGAUCCGGUGGUUCUGAAUGGAAGGGCCAUCGCUCAACGGAUAAAAGGUACUCCGGGGAUAACAGGCUGAUACCGCCCAAGAGUUCAUAUCGACGGCGGUGUUUGGCACCUCGAUGUCGGCUCAUCACAUCCUGGGGCUGAAGUAGGUCCCAAGGGUAUGGCUGUUCGCCAUUUAAAGUGGUACGCGAGCUGGGUUUAGAACGUCGUGAGACAGUUCGGUCCCUAUCUGCCGUGGGCGCUGGAGAACUGAGGGGGGCUGCUCCUAGUACGAGAGGACCGGAGUGGACGCAUCACUGGUGUUCGGGUUGUCAUGCCAAUGGCACUGCCCGGUAGCUAAAUGCGGAAGAGAUAAGUGCUGAAAGCAUCUAAGCACGAAACUUGCCCCGAGAUGAGUUCUCCCUGAGACUUUAAGUCUCCUGAAGGAACGUUGAAGACGACGACGUUGAUAGGCCGGGUGUGUAAGCGCAGCGAUGCGUUGAGCUAACCGGUACUAAUGAACCGUGAGGCUUAACCUUACAACGCCGAAG